rnacentral:tRNA from 1 species
GCGGAUAUGGCGGAACGGCAGACGCGCUGGACUUAGAAUCCAGUGAGAAAUCGUGUAGGUUCAAAUCCUAUUAUCCGCACCA